UACGUAGGGGGCAAGCGUUGUCCGGAUUUAUUGGGCGUAAAGAGCGUGUAGGCGGCCAUGUAGGUCCGUUGUGAAAACUCGAGGCUCAACCUCGAGACGUCGGCGGAAACCAUCUGGCUAGAGUCCGGAAGAGGAGAGUGGAAUUCCUGGUGUAGCGGUGAAAUGCGCAGAUAUCAGGAAGAACACCCGUGGCGAAGGCGGCUCUCUGGGACGGUACUGACGCUGAGACGCGAAAGCGUGGGAGCGAACAGG
rnacentral:rRNA from 1 species